AGCUUUGUGCAGUGGCAGUAUCGUAGCCAAUGAGGUUUAUCCAAGGUGCGAUUAUUGCUAAUUGAAAAGAUAAUAGGGGCACCUGGGCGGCUCAGUGGGCUAAAGCCUCUGCCUUCGGCUCAGGUCAUGAUCCCAGGGUCCUGG